rnacentral:rRNA from 1 species
UACGAAGGGGGCUAGCGUUGCUCGGAAUCACUGGGCGUAAAGGGUGCGUAGGCGGGUCUUUAAGUCAGGGGUGAAAUCCUGGAGCUCAACUCCAGAACUGCCUUUGAUACUGAGGAUCUUGAGUUCGGGAGAGGUGAGUGGAACUGCGAGUGUAGAGGUGAAAUUCGUAGAUAUUCGCAAGAACACCAGUUGCGAAGGCGGCUGACUGGACACAUAUUGACGCUGAGGCUCGAAAGCAUGGGGAGCAAACAGG